GUUACCCUGCGAUGUUCGUUACAUCUUUCUACGUGCUGAGCCAACGAAUUUACUAAGGGAGCCUGAUGUCGCGCCUUUCAAAAACCGGCCUCCUUCGAGUGGACUUUUGCGACUGGCGGUAAGGCACCCACCUGCACAUGCAGGUUCAAUACCUUGAAGAUGAACGGCAUUCGUGGGGCAAUU
rnacentral:other from 1 species